AGUUUAUGGUGUAAUUGUAGUCAAUCUCACAAUAAAGCGUUCUAUCUCCGCCUCCGUUGACUGGAACCAACUGUAUAAAGAUACUAUAGUCGUUUUAUAUAUUAACAGAAGUUUAUGUCGAAAAUAAUCGUUUCCUCGCUUUCAAUCGUAGAUCUAUGGAAGAAAUCUUCACUGAAAUCAAAUUGUUCUGUAGAACCAAUACCAGAAAACUACUUUGUAGAAGAUCUAAGAGGCAGUGAGUUACAUCUACUUGUGGCUAGUACAGCAGAUCAACGGGAUAGUGGAGGUCACAUUUCUUUCUUGAACAUAUGGUUAACACUACUGAUUGUCGCAGUAGCAGCAGCAAUUUUAUCUUGACCACUUGUGUGAUGAAUAUCCUCGUGUUUUCUUACGAGUGGACCAGCAUUUUAGAGUAUCUAUUCUGGUAGAAUUUAUCUAAUGCCAGAUACUGUAGAUAAUCAGUCCACCAAAGUUCGACAUGGGGGGUGCCUACCAGAUAAUGUGAAUAAUCAGUUCACCAAAGUUUGACAUUCGACACGGGGGGUGUCUACCAGAUAAUGUGGAUAAUCAGUUCACCAAAGUUCGACACGGGGGGUGUCUACCAGAUAAUGUGGAUAA